CCGAGUUUUCAACUCCCAAACCCCAUGUGAACUUAUACCAUUUACACCGUUGCUUCGGCGGGUUCUCGCCCCGGGCUUUACAACCCCGGAACCAGGCGGCCCGCCGGGGGACCCAAACUCUUGUAUCUUUUUUAUAGCAUGUCUGAGUGGAAUCAUAAACAAAUGAAUCA
rnacentral:misc_RNA from 1 species